UAACCCCUCAGUAUUAUUAUGUGACAGUAGCUGCUCCCAAUCUAUGCCCUUAAAUGCUGCCCUCAACCCAGGGAAAUUAGCCUUUUAAAAAUUCAGUGUUUUUGCUCUGCUUGACAGACUUUGCUUCUUAUAGUUUAGGGGGAAUAUAAU